rnacentral:rRNA from 1 species
CGUAGGGUGCGAGCGUUGUCCGGAAUUACUGGGCGUAAAGAGCUCGUAGGCGGUUUGUCGCGUCGUCUGUGAAAACCAGCAGCUCAACUGCUGGCUUGCAGGCGAUACGGGCAGACUUGAGUACUGCAGGGGAGACUGGAAUUCCUGGUGUAGCGGUGAAAUGCGCAGAUAUCAGGAGGAACACCGGUGGCGAAGGCGGGUCUCUGGGCAGUAACUGACGCUGAGGAGCGAAAGCGUGGGUAGCGAACAGG